rnacentral:rRNA from 1 species
AUUGAACGCUGGCGGCAGGCUUAACACAUGCAAGUCGAGCGAGCCGCGGACGUGUGAGUAAUGUCUGGGACACUGCCUGAUGGAGGGGGAUAACUACUGGAACCGGUGGCUAUUCCCGCCUACCAUCCGCUUUUCCCUGAGUGGAUUAGCUAUUAGGUGGGGUAAUGGCUCACCUAGGAGACGAGCCAUAGCUGGUCUGAGAGGAUGACCAGCCACACUGGAACUGAGACACGGUCCAGACUCCUACGGGAGGCAGCAGUAGGGAAUAUGGCACAAUGGGCGCAAGCCUGAUGAAGCCAUGCCGCGUGUGUGAAGAAGGCCUUCGGGUUGUAAAGCACUGUCAGCGGGGAGGCGGUACUCACAGAAGAAGCACCGGCUAACUCCGUGCCAGCAGCCGCGGUAAUUC